AGAAUACAACAGUCUUUAAAGUUCAUAACUUUUGCUUGUUUUACAUUUUUUAACAUCCUUAUGUGAUAAAUCUGACUCUAGAAUACUUCAGACUUCAUGAAAUUGUAGGAAAACUAAAUCUUUUUCAUGGUAUGUGCAAAUGACCAGUAACAGUUUGUGGGAUUUAUAGAAAUAAAAGCAGACUAACUCAACUUAGUCAUACCAAAGGGUGACAUAUAAUAUAAAACUGUUUAGGAUGGUGGGGACUAUACUGGAUGAAAGAUUAUCAUCGCAAAUUCAUGAGGUGGUAACAUGUAAUUGUUGAGGUAAAUGAAACUGAAGAAAAUAAUAAUUGUAAGGUAUGAAGGUUUGAUUGAUCACUUUCUUAAGGCAAUAAUGCCUCCAAGUUUAAAAUAAAGCUUGCAAACUCUCAAAUAGAAUUUUGGUAAAAGGAAAACAAAAGAAGGAAGAGUUAAUGGGAAUUUCAUAUUUCUAUCUAUAAAGACUAAUAGUUGUGUCAAAAAAGAUCACCUGUAGCACACAUACCUGUCUUAGACAGUUGUCUUUGAAGAAAUGAAAUUAAAAAGAAUAACUGCCUCUAGCAAUUUUCUUCUACCAAUUUCCAAGAAGUAUAGUGCCAAGUG
rnacentral:misc_RNA from 1 species